rnacentral:rRNA from 1 species
GCCAGCCCCCUAGAAGGUUUGGAAUCUCAUUGGUUCCAGGGACGGAACGCUCGGACGGCGGUGCCUAAUACAUGCAUAGUUCGAGCGACAUGAAAGGGAGCUUGCUUCCCGGGAUGUUAGCGCGGAACGGGUGAGUAACACCGUGGGGUAACCUGCCUGUAAGACUUGGGAUAACUCCGGAAACCGGAGCUAAUACCGGGAUAGUUCCUUGAACCGCAUGGUUCAAGGAUGAAAGACGGUUUUCGGCUGUCACUUACAGAUGGACUCCGCGGCGCAUUAGCUAGUUGGUGAGGUAACGGCUCACCAAAGGCGACGAUGCGUAGCCGACCUGAGAGGGUGAUCGGCCACACUGGGACUGAGACACGGCCCAGACUCCUACGGGAGGCAGCAGUAGGGAAUCUUCCGCAAUGGACGAAAGUCUGACGGAGCAACGCCGCGUGAGUGAUGAAGGUUUUCGGAUCGUAAAGCUCUGUUUGUUAGGGAAGAACAAGUGCAAGAGUAACUGCUUGCACCUUGACGGUACCUAACCAGAAAGCCACGGCUAACUACGUGCCAGCAGCCGCGGUAAUACGUAGGUGGCAAGCGUUGUCCGGAAUUAUUGGGCGUAAAGGGCUCGCAGGCGGUUUCUUAAGUCUGAUGUGAAAGCCCCCGGCUCAACCGGGGAGGGUCAUUGGAAACUGGGAAACUUGAGUGCAGAAGAGGAGAGUGGAAUUCCACGUGUAGCGGUGAAAUGCGUAGAGAUGUGGAGGAACACCAGUGGCGAAGGCGACUCUCUGGUCUGUAACUGACGCUGAGGAGCGAAAGCGUGGGGAGCGAACAGGAUUAGAUACCCUGGUAGUCCACGCCGUAAACGAUGAGUGCUAAGUGUUAGGGGGUUUCCGCCCCUUAGUGCUGCAGCUAACACAUUAAUUCAUGCCGGCGGAAGAAUACCCCGGGUC